rnacentral:pre_miRNA from 1 species
CGCCUGCAUCUUUACAGCUUCAAGUGCUGCGUUGUAUUGACUGAAUGCUGUAAAAUAAAGGCA